CGUGGUGGUUCGAGGUGAUCAUCUGGGAGCAGGCAUCCAGCCCCGCUGCUGGCUGUGGCAGCUGGAAAAGACUUGUGAGCUGCCUCCCCAUGGCAGUAAACGCCAGCUUUGAGCAUUCUGAGCUAUAAGCAGUGCCUUUGGAUGUGAAUCCAUCUUUUCAGCCCUUUUGGAAGGAAACCCAGUGUCCAGAUGGAAAGCUUGAAGAGAAACAACAACAGCGCCAGGAAGGUGUAUAAUUAUGGCUCAUGAUGGCAAAUUUUACAUCCCCAAAUUGGAGUGUUUAAUUCAAUUAGACGUCAUAAAGCUCUCGUUAUCCCCUUCGGAUGUUAAUAAACUCAAGAACUUCCAACUCCCUGUAUUUGCAGCUCUUGCCACCCCAAACUGUUGUUAUUUAUAUGUUUCUAAGCUGUUUCUAAACAGAACAGAUUUUUAUUGCUUUCUGGCCAUAUGCCCAGGAUGGGUGAAGUUUGGGGGGAAAAAAAAUUAAAAACCAUAAACUUCUCUUCAUGUUUUUCUCUCCUCUGCCCUCUUCACCGAGAGGUACAUGAGCUGUGAAAGAAAAUCAGGAGUUAAUGCUGAGGGAGUUGUUUCUGACACCAGUAAGAGGCUCCUCAGGAAUACUGGAGCAUCCUGUGGGAAUUCCACGGGAGAC